GGAUUGUGGCUCAGUGGAAGAGCACUUGCCUUAUAUAUAUGAGGUACUGGGUUCAAUCCUCAGCACCA
rnacentral:tRNA from 1 species